rnacentral:tRNA from 1 species
GUCAGGAUGGCCGAGCGGUCUAAGGCGCCAGACUCAAGGUUACCUUGCCUACAUAGUAGGUACGAGCUGUUCUGGUCCUCUCUGAGGGCGUGGGUUCGAAUCCCACUUCUGACA